rnacentral:rRNA from 1 species
AGUGAACGCUGGCGGUAGGCCUAACACGUGCAAGUCGAACGGCAGCACAGGAGAGCUUGCUCUCUGGGUGGCGAGUGGCGGACGGGUGAGGAAUACAUCGGAAUCUACUUUUUCGUGGGGGAUAACGUAGGGAAACUUACGCUAUACCGCAUACGACCUACGGGUGAAAGCAGGGGACCUUCGGGCCUUGCGCGAUUGAAUGAGCCGAUGUCGGAUUAGCUAGUUGGCGGGGUAAAGGACCACCAAGGCGACGAUCCGUAGCUGGUCUGAGAGGAUGAUCAGCCACACUGGAACUGAGACACGGUCCAGACUCCUACGGGAGGCAGCAGUGGGGAAUAUUGGACAAUGGGCGCAAGCCUGAUCCAGCCAUACCGCGUGGGUGAAGAAGGCCUUCGGGUUGUAAAGCCCUUUUGUUGGGAAAGAAAUCCAGCUGGCUAAUACCCGGUUGGGAUGACGGUACCCAAAGAAUAAGCACCGGCUAACUUCGUGCCAGCCGCCGCGGUAA